AUGCAGUCGAACGAUGAAGCCCAGCUUGCUGGGUGGAUUAGUGGCGAACGGGUGAGUAAUACGUGAGUAACCUGCCUUUAACUCUGGGAUAAGCCUUGGAAACGGGGUCUAAUACCGGAUACGACCAACCCUCGCAUGGGGUGUUGGUGGAAAGGGAUUUUGUACUGGUUUUAGAUGGGCUCACGGCCUAUCAGCUUGUUGGUGAGGUAACGGCUCACCAAGGCGACGACGGGUAGCCGGCCUGAGAGGGUGACCGGCCACACUGGGACUGAGACACGGCCCAGACUCCUACGGGAGGCAGCAGUGGGGAAUAUUGCACAAUGGGCGCAAGCCUGAUGCAGCGACGCCGCGUGAGGGAUGACGGCCUUCGGGUUGUAAACCUCUUUCAGCAGGGGAGAAGCGAAAGUGACGGUACCUGCAGAAGAAGCGCCGGCUAACUACGUGCCAGCAGCCGCGGUAAUACGUAGGGCGCGAGCGUUGUCCGGAAUUAUUGGGCGUAAAGAGCUUGUAGGCGGUUUGUCGCGUCUGCUGUGAAAGCCCGGGGCUUAACCCCGGGUUUGCAGUGGGUACGGGCAGACUAGAGUGCAGUAGGGGAGACUGGAAUUCCUGGUGUAGCGGUGAAAUGCGCAGAUAUCAGGAGGAACACCAAUGGCGAAAGGCAGGUCUCUGGGCUGUAACUGACGCUGAGAAGCGAAAGCAUGGGGAGCGAACAGGAUUAGAUACCCUGGUAGUCCAUGCCGUAAACGUUGGGCACUAGGUGUGGGGAACAUUCCACGUUUUCCGCGCCGUAGCUAACGCAUUAAGUGCCCCGCCUGGGGAGUACGGCCGCAAGGCUAAAACUCAAAGAAAUUGACGGGGGCCCGCACAAGCGGCGGAGCAUGCGGAUUAAUUCGAUGCAACGCGAAGAACCUUACCAAGGCUUGACAUAUACUGGACCGCCUCAGAGAUGGGGUUUCCCUUUUAGGGCUGGUAUACAGGUGGUGCAUGGUUGUCGUCAGCUCGUGUCGUGAGAUGUUGGGUUAAGUCCCGCAACGAGCGCAACCCUCGUUCUAUGUUGCCAGCACGUAAUGGUGGGGACUCAUAGGAGACUGCCGGGGUUAACUCGGAGGAAGGUGGGGAUGACGUCAAAUCAUCAUGCCCCUUAUGUCUUGGGCUUCACGCAUGCUACAAUGGCCGGUACAAAGGGUUGCGAUACUGUGAGGUUGAGCUAAUCCCAAAAAGCCGGUCUCAGUUCGGAUUGGGGUCUGCAACUCGACCCCAUGAAGUCGGAGUCGCUAGUAAUCGCAGAUCAGCAACGCUGCGGUGAAUACGUUCCCGGGCCUUGUACACACCGCCCGUCAAGUCACGAAAGUUGGUAACACCCGAAGCCGAUGGCCUAACCCGUUUGGGAGGGAGUCGUCGAAGGUGGGAUUGGCGAU
rnacentral:rRNA from 1 species